UACGAAGGGGGCUAGCGUUGCUCGGAAUCACUGGGCGUAAAGGGUGCGCAGGCGGUUGGGUGUGUCAGAUGUGAAAUCCCGGAGGCCUCAACCUCGGAACUGCGUCUGAAACUACUCGACUAGAGUACUGGAGAGGGUAACGGAAUUCACGGUGUAGCAGUGAAAUGCGUAGAUAUCGUGAGGAACACCAGAGGCGAAGGCGGUUACCUGGACAGUUACUGACGCUCAGGCACGAAAGCAUGGGGGAGCAAAAGGG
rnacentral:rRNA from 1 species